rnacentral:rRNA from 1 species
GAUGAACGCUGGCGGCGUGCCUAAUACAUGCAAGUCGAGCGAACGGACGAUAAGCUUUCUUCUCUGAUGUUAGCGGCGGACGGGUGAGUAACACAUGGAUAACCUACCUAUAAGACUUGGAUAACUUCGGGAAACCGGAGCUAAUACCGGAUGAUAUUUUGAACCGCAUGGUUCAAAAGUGAAAGACGGUCUUGCUGUCACUUAUAGAUGGAUCCGCGCUGCAUUAGCUAGUUGGUAAGGUAACGGCUUACCAAGGCAACGAUGCAUAGCCGACCUGAGAGGGUGAUCGGCCACACUGGAACUGAGACACGGUCCAGACUCCUACGGGAGGCAGCAGUAGGGAAUAUUGCGCAAUGGGCGAAAGCCUGACGGAGCAACGCCGCGUGAGUGAUGAAGGUCUUCGGAUCGUAAAACUCUGUUAUUAGGGAAGAACAUAUGUGUAAGUAACUGUGCACAUCUUGACGGUACCUAAUCAGAAAGCAACGGCUAACUACGUG